GAAAUAAUGGACUAUGAAUUUGAUCGUAUUGAUCUUAUAUGUGUUUCGGUCUCAACUAUAUUUGGAAUUUGGUACCUUGUUAAGAAGGUACGUCUAGUUCUGCUGUAAUUUUUACUAAAGCAGUAUAAUAUUAUAAAUUCAAUUGUUUAUUUUUUAUCAACCUUCUGGGUGUGAAUUGAUUUGGUGUGUUUAAUUUCAGCACUGGAUUGCCAACAAUGUGCUAGGCUUGGCUUUUGCUGUCAAUGGCGUAGAACUCCUUCAACUAAACAGGUUUGUGAUUUGGACCUGAAAUUACUCAAUGCGAACUGGGUAAUUUAAUUAUCUGUACUGUCAUUUUUUAGUGUGAUAACUGGAUGUAUAUUACUUGGUGGUUUAUUUAUUUAUGAUAUUUUUUGG